GCUUCAGCAAAGUCUUCUGGGUUUUAUUCAUUGCAGGUGCCCUGUAUGUUUGACAGUAAUUCACCUCAUCAUUAGAGAAUAUGCCUUUCGAGAGAAGAAUCUAUCCCUGAUACUGAUCGGGUGAAAAACAUGUGGUAGAAGACCUAGUACUUUGAAGGUUUGUUCUAGAAGAAGGUUCAAAGGAGCUGGAGCUAAGGAAGAUGAGUUGGCAGAAACUUCUGGAAAGAAGAAAUAGUUAGAGAGAAUUGGCAAGUGCAGGAGAAGAAACAGAAUAGCAUGUGAGGAGACCAUGUGAACAGGAGGAACCUAUACAUAGAUACAAGAAAUUAAGAAUAGUAUAGAAGGUGUGAAAAAUAUUGUUUGUUUUGUUCUUGCAUAUUGCUGGCCAGUGCUAUGCCUUCUGGAUUUGUUGUUUUCUUGAUCAUUAUUCUUCCGUAUUAAGAAGUAGAGUGAAGAGCGACCGAGUAUUUCAUAGUAAUUCAGUGAAACCCUUCUGGGAAACAUUUAUUCAAUACAACAUUACAAUGUCAUUUCAAUUCAACUCCUCUCAAGUUCUUAACCCUAUCAAUAUGAACAACUUAAGUGGACCAUUAAUGUGUUGAAUACCUUGUUCUUUCCAGCUACAAGGAAGUAAAUCACGAUUUGCAUCAUCAAUAAAAACCACUUUUUAUCACAUGAUUAAUUAUGUGAAUAGGUACAUGACCCAAAAAGGCAACCAAAAGGAUUCCAACCAAGGAAAAAAGUGAAAAACGAUAAAAUUUUGGAUCAUUGUUUCAGAACUAUUGAUAAACCUAAUAUCCACAUAAUUGAAUCUAACCGUAAAUAUUUCUGGGACAUGAUGAAAUCACUUAUACAGAUAUAACAUAAAGACAUUAAUUACUCAAAAGAUAUUAUAAGUUUAUGGUGUUACUAAAGAAACAAUCUGUACCAUUUUAGGAACUUGGGGAGCGACUUCACAGAAAGACUUCAUUUCUUCUCUUGAAGUUAGUGCAUCUAUAAAAAGAACAUCUGCUCCAGCAUCAGCAAAAGCUCUUGACCUCCAAAGUGAUUCAUCCAAGGAUAUUGCUUGACGAGAAUCAGUUCGUGCAACAAUAACAAUGUCUGAGCCAGUCUCUUCCCGAGCAUCAACGGCUGCUUUUAUCCGCAUCACUGCUUCUUCUCUAGACACCACUUUCCUACCACGUGUAUGACCACAAGCUUUCGGAGACACCUUACAUGGUCAGAUUCAAAAGCAACAUUAAUAGGAAAAAAAAUUAUUUGUAGCUUAAACAAUGACUGGAAGAAUAUUGGUUCGAGUAAAUAAAAAAUAUGACACAUGUACCUAAUAAAAGGAAGGUCAGGCCUAAUGAUCUGGUACUAUUUAGUUUAUCCAUAAUAUUAUCUAGAAAGUAAUUGAAGACUGUAAUUCAAGUUUUCAAGUUCACAGCCAGACACUCGGACAAAAUAUAAGAAAAACAAAAGAUUUAUCCAUUUACAUCUCCAUAUUACACGUAAAAACUGAGACAAAAUAAAACAAUAGAUUUAUACACUCAAAUUACAUCUGCAUAUUAUAUAUAGAAUGGUACUAUUUUGAACAUCGAGAACAAAUGAAUUUUUUUUCCCUACUUCUUUAUCAACCUGAAAUACAAUAAGAUGUGAUAUGUUGUCCCAUGUAUCUCAAAUAAUUUGUUCCCUCAUAAUAAUUACGUUGACAUUAAGAUUAAGUUCUACUUUGUUUUUCUCAAUUUUUAGUAAUUAUGUAAAAGGAAAAAUAACCUUAGAUUACAUUUAGUUUUCAUCAAUAUGGAUAUAGAACUACAAGUUUGACAUAUCAAAAUAUAUGUUUCAUUGCACUUAUUAUUAUUUUUAGACUUGUGGUUCAUUAUAUUGAUUAACUAAUAUAUGUAAAUAUGUGAAAAUCACUUUUCAAUUUUUUCAUUUUACUUGAAACCACAUCAAAGCAAAUUCCUCCAGCUUUGCUAAUUAACUUAUGGACAUAGAGAGAGAAUCAAAAAGAAAACCAAGGAAAAAUUAAGCAAUGAAAUCAGGAAUAUAUGUAUGCAUGCUUGCGUAUAGGUAAAAUUUAAAUAAUACAAACCUGAUCUUCAAGAAGGAUUCCUGCAAAGCCAGCUUUUAUAAAUCCCUUGAUAGUUCUUUUGACAUUCAUGGCAUUUCCAUAGCCAUUAUCACCAUCCCCAAUUACAGGAAUUGACACAGCUUGAGUGAUUAGUUGCCCCUGAUCCACCAUUUCCCCAUAGGAAAUAAAUCCAGUAUCAGGCAAUCCCAAUCUAGCAGCUGAUAUUGAAAAUCCUAAUGGAUGGAGAAAAUACUGUGAAUAAACUUGUUUCUCUUUGAAACUACUACACAAGAAAACAAAGUACACAAGGAAACAAACUUACCAUACACAGACCCUUAUAAUGGAAUUCAAUCAAAUAUGCAGAGAUUAACAGAUAAAAAAAUUUAGACUGCAUCCGAUGCUGAUGGUAAAUAAUCAUCAGAUUCAUGCAUUCCAAUCACUUCAACGAAAUUAGAUCAAUUAUCUCCCUGUAGCAUUAGUAGCACUUUCCUUUGUCAAGCUGCAAUAAACUCAGUACCAUAACAAAAUCCUGAUGAAAAAAAAUUUACAUCUAACAAUCCGAUCAUCCAUUUCCUAACUGUUCAUAUCAAAGACUAUUAUAUAGGCUAUGUUUGGUUGGGGGUAACUUAGAAAGGAAAGUUCUACUUCCCAGAAAGUAUGAAAUGUUGACUUAUUUGGUUGGCAUAAUUUUAUAACUUCCCGGAAAGUUGUUUUGUGUUACUUUCCCUCUAUAAGGAAAGUAAAUUUUCUUCCCAAUCCAAGUAACUUCAAGUUACUUUCAUUAUUUUCUAUUUUACCCUUUUUGUUUUUUUUUUUCAUAAUUAAGUAUUUAGGUGAAAAUUAGUAGAAAAUUGAAGAUUAUGUUUAUUGAUAGACAAUGAUGUGUGAGAAAUUUUAUAAUAUAAUUUUAUUCAAGUUAUAUAUUCAUUCAAAUAAAGAAAGAAAUUAAUUAAAUUAAACAUAAUUACUAUUAUCAUAAAAAAAAUAAUAUAUUGAUUAUUAUGUGAGUUGAGUAUUUACUUUUCAAAAUUUAAGUAUUUGGUCAAUAUAUAAUUUUCUUUAUUAAAUUGAAUAUUAUAUUUUAAAUAUUAUAUAUAUAUUUGGAGUAGAGAUGUUUAUAUUAUUUUUAUAAUCACACUUCAUUUACAUCCUGAAAAUUUAACAUACCAACCAAAUGCAUUUAAAUUAUACUUCCUAAAAAAUAACUUCAUGGAAAUGUACUUCCCAAUAAAUUAACUUCCAAGAACUAGACCAUUUUGAACCAACCAUUUUGAACCAACCAUUUUGAACCAAACGAGGCCAUAGAUACAGGUCAAGAACAUUUGCAUCCAUAAUGAAGAACAAGUGAACACUAAAGUUAAGGAAUACCAUAAGGAAAAAUUACUAUCAAGUCCCCAUAUUUGUAGAAAACUUAUUAAUUCAUUCUUAUUUCAAAUUUACCCAAAAAAAUUUUUGGCCUUCCAGUCGAAGAAAUAUCAACUGAACAACAUGAAUAUUUAGAAUUAUAUAGAUUAACUAAUGCAACUUACAGGACUAAAAAAUAUAAAAUAUUCAAGGGCACUAAUGAUUUUUUUUAACAGAAGAAUUAGAGAUAAAUUUGUUUUAACUGAGUAAUUUCCAAAUAAGGACAAAUUAGUAAACUGCAAGAAAAUUAAGGGACUUGUACUUCACCCAUGUCAUAUCCUUUGAACAAGAACUCUCUCUGUUCGAUCCCAAUAAAAGCAAAUCCCUUUCUUGAUUUUGAUUGUAACAUUAAAAAACUGCAUAAAUCAUAGAAACAAAUAGAAAACACAUACCACUAGUGAAGCAGUAAUUGAAUCCCGCUCUCUCGAUAAGCUUAGCACUAAGAGCAUCGAAACAAGCAGGGCCCAGGUGGACACCGGGCGAGUCAAGAAUCAUGCGCAGCGCCUUGGCCGGAGAAGUUCUCUCGGCAGAGCAAGUUACCACGCUUUGAGACAUCCUUGUCGUAGAGAAAGUAGCUUCAGAUUUUUGAAAUGUUAGAUUGUGAGGGAUGAAAAGUGACCGUAUAGAAUUGAAAUUCGAAUUAGAGAAUGAAUUGGGAGAGGUAUAGGAUUUAGCAAGAGAGACUCGAUAAUUUCUGCAACUGCAAGCUCCAGCAGAUAGAGAGUUCACACCGGAUGAUCGAG
rnacentral:lncRNA from 1 species